GACAGAGGCCUCAAGCGUUAGGCGGAAUCACUGGGCUUAAAGCGUGUGUAGGCGGAUCGUUAAGUGCCUUGUGAAAUCCCACGGCUUAACUGUGGAACGGCUGGGCAUACUGGCGGUCUUGAGCCAUCUAGGGGCGACUGGAACAAACGGUGGAGCGGUGAAAUGCGCAGAUAUCGGGAGGAACACCGGUGGCGAAGGCGGUUCUCUGGGCCUUACCUGACGCUGAGGAGCGAAAGCGUGGGGAGCGAACAGG
rnacentral:rRNA from 1 species